rnacentral:tRNA from 1 species
UCCCGGGUGGUGUAACGGCAGCACAACCGCCUUUGACGCGGUUAGACAUGGUUCGAAUCCAUGCCCGGGAG